AGCCUGGUAGUGUAGUGGCCAAGCAUAUGGGGCUCUGAACCCUGUGACAAAUCGUAUCAUCUCGAUUCGUUUCACAACCACGGUUCGAAUCCGUGCCAGGCUA
rnacentral:tRNA from 1 species